rnacentral:tRNA from 1 species
GUACUGGAUAGCUCAGUUGGUUAGAGCAUGGUGCUGAUAAUGCCAAAGUUGCAGGUUCUAUCCCUGUAUGGGACA